CAAAUGCUGUAGCUGUGAAUCGGAAAAUUGCUGGUUCAUAGCUCUGGUUUCACAGCUGGCAAGUAGAUUGCACAGACAUUCCCCAGAGAUAGCAUAUGGUCUUUGAAGACCUAGAUACUGUUGAAAUUAAUUGAAUUUAUAUGACAUCUGGAUCAAAAGAAAAGUCAUGAUGGCACUAAAUGGCCCUAUUACGGUGGCUGCAUAUGAAGUUAGCAUGAAAAGAUAAAACACCAAGUACACUUCAAAUACCUAAUCAGUAGCACUGCCCACAUUAGCUCUUUAACUAUGCCAUGUUUUCAGUGCCUUUUUCAACUUCUCAUAAUCUGACACAUAUUCUUUUGGACACUGUUGUAACAAAGUCAAGCCAUCUUCUUAUGGAAGUCCGGAGAAAUGUUUAUGGCUCUACACCAUAGUGUAAUUUAGACUUCUCAGCCAAAAUUCCUAUCAGAAUUAAUUUGUAAUCACCCUUCCCUGAAAUAGAAAAUGCCCCAACAGAAAAUAAAUGAGGAACCAAAGAAACAAACCCCAGUGAAACAAAAGAAGUACCGAUGCAAUUACAUUUUUAAGGUGAAAAGGAGAAGUGAUGAGGUGCUUCUAUUUUUUACCACUUCCUUUAUGCAAAUUUAAACUGUUUUAAAUAAAAUACCCCCCCUAUAAAGAGCUGAUCUUUAGUAAGUAAAGAAGUUCCAUUUCAGCUUCUAUUUAAGGAUGGAGUUAAGGGAAAUAGGAAUAUAUGGAUAUAAGUGUUUAUAGGAAUCUUAGAAGAUUUUGAUAAAUUAUAUCUUGUUGAAAUUGUAAAGCCGACAGACUGAAUUUUGCUUAUUAAACUCUUGAAAACUAUCACCUAUUGCAAUACUAAUAGUUGAUCUUGGUUUAAACUAUUUAUAAAAAAGGAUCUUAGCAAAUAAUUUAUUUGGAAAAAAUUAAUCACUCGUUUGUCUAUGUGGAUUAGUUUGAUACUAAUGUGGAAAAUGCUAGACUAAGAAAGAAGGCUUUUCUGUCCUAAUACCUGACAAAAAGGUUAGUAGUGGGAAAAACUGAAAAAUUAAUGUCUACCAAGUUGCAUUUAAUGGCAAAAAGUAAAUUUUUAAUCCUUUUAAAUGCUCUGUGCUAAACAAUGGGGUUUUCAAAUUUCGGAAUUUAAGAUGUACGAACUCAUAAGGGUUUAAAAAUGAAGCAGUGUCUAGAAAACACUAGAUAUAAAUUUCUUUUCCAAAUUUAAACAGAUUUAAAGUCUCAGCAGGUUUAAUCUAAUUUCUGAUAUCCUAUUUUUACAUUGAAUACAUAAUAACAUUAAUAAAAAUUGAUCGCUCUCCUUGAACCCACUUGAAGGAAAAACAAAAACGCCAAAAUCCAGAAAGCUCUGUCACGUUUUAUGCUUUUUUGCAUGGAAUUUAAGGAUGAACAGUUCAGAGGCUACUUAACAGAGCUCACUUGUUAGGUUUUUCUGAGGCACAGAGAGUCGUGAUGAAACAAUAUGAUAAGUGCUUACAUCAUCAUAUAUCAGAGUGUCCCUCAAGCUGGGGGGAGGGGGGGGUAAGGAAUGACUAAUUUCCAGAUACCACAGGGAGGGAGGCAUUAUGAAGCUCCAUUAAUCACCACAAUGCUGUCUUCUGACUGUGGCAGUGACACCAAGGAGGAAUGACGGCUUCAAUAGAAGACAUUUUAGAAUCAAUAUUCAAAUUUUCAUUAAUAUUUUGCUUUGACUAGAAUGCACAUAUAAGCCAGAAUCAAAACAUUAACUUAGGUAAAUUCAAGAAUGGGAGUCACAAUGAAAUGGUUUAUCCCAAAACAUUUUCUGAAGUAAUAGUAAAACUUCUAAAUAAGACCCUCGUUCACAAACUAAACCAAAGAAAUGACUGAAGUAAUCAGAGAGCAAGAGGACAGCAAAUGUACUUCCAACAACACCCUUGCUUCUUCCGGUUACUUCCAUAGUUGCCUGGCAGUGGAGUCCUUUCCUGCUUCUUCGGUUCCUAGGCAUGCUCAGGGUUCUGAAAUGAUUUUUUACUAAAGAAUUCUGCAGGAUCAGCACAUUCAAGAACAGUCGAACCUUGUCCUGCCUUCUUAUGAAAAGUCUUAAUUCACUGGUUUGAAGCACGGCUCUCUGUUCUCUUCCUCAAUGGAUUCACAACCCCAAUGCACACCCGGAGAUGUGAAUCACCUCAGGCAUCAGGGCAGGCUUUGUUGGAAGAUUUCUGCCAUGUCUAAUGAUACUCUAGUUAUUAUAGUUUUUCUUUCUGUCACAAA